GAUUUGGGGUCGACUCUCGUAUUCUCGGAGUCGACUCGUUCACAGAGUCACUUUGUUUGAUUUUCUGCCUUUCAGUUUGCUUUCCUCUAAGAGUCGACUCUUGCUUGUUUAGAAGUCGACUCGCCAAAUGUUGGAGUCGACUCGAAUUCUUCUGGAGUCGACUCGGUAACAGGGUCCAGAAAACACUUCUCUAUUUUUCUGUCUGUUACUCCUUGGAGUCGACUCGGAACCGUCGGGAGUCGACUCGGUAAGCAUCGGAGUCGACUCGAAACCGUUGGAGUCGACUCGGUGACAGGGUCUGAAAUUCAUCUUUCUAUCCUUCUGUCUGUUCUCAGUCGGAGUUGACUCGUAGUGUACCAGAGUCGACUCGAGCUCGUGUCAGAACUUCUGAAACACUUAGAGUUGACUCGUACUCUUCCGGAGUCGACUCGAGCUUCAGACUUUAGCUUAAAUUAGUUCAAUACUUAGCCAAAUGACUUUGAACAAAGGCUCGAUGCUAUUAAAGAUAAAUUCACAUAUAUUUGCCUGAAACACUAGAUUGAAUUCAUUAGUACAACUUGAAAUAUACUCAAAUGCUUUGAGCUCAUCAAAAUCAAAUAGGGGUAUAACCAAUCACUCCAUAGAUUGAUUCUGUACUCUUAGAAGAAAACUGGGAGUAAUUGACCCCUUUCAAUAAUCAUGCUUUCACUUCCCUCAAUUCAUUCCUUCAUGAUCUGACUUCCAAUCAAAUUGCACCUUCAUGAUUAUUCUCCAAAGGUAAAAGUCAAUCAAACCAAUUCUAAAACCUUUUGGACUAACCAUUACAAAUGGUUUGAAGAAAAAUAGAUCUCGAGCCGACUCGAGAAGAAUCCGAGUCGACCUGCGUGCGAGUCGUCUCUAGCUAUUGCGUGAGACGUCUCCAGGUCGAACUCACAGUGCCCUAUCUUUGCCAAGUUGUCUCGAACUCUAGCGAG
rnacentral:lncRNA from 1 species